rnacentral:rRNA from 1 species
AUGCCAGAGAGGACCAAAGAUGGGCCGAAAGCAAGGGCAGACUUGAAAUCAAUGGGCAUCACGCAGGAGCUUCACGCCAAUGAUGAUGAUGAUGAUGAUGAUGAUGAUGAUGAUGAGGCGAAGCAGGACACAGAAAGUCGUCGCAAAGGCAAAAAGGCCAAGAAGACCGGAAAUGACUACCCUCCCGCGUGCUUCACUCUAAGUCAGGAGGAGAUCGAGCAGUUUUUCACCUGCCUCCUAGGAGUAAAACUUCCUUAUGGUUACGCGGGGAAGAUAAGCAGAUACCUAGACCCAGCGAAGCAGAAGUUCAGCAGGAUGAAGUCUCACGACUAUCACGUGCUG